AGGACUAACGCUGGCGGCGUGCCUAACACAUGCAAGUCGAACGAGGUAGCAAUACCUAGUGGCAGACGGGUGAGUAACGCGUGGUCAACCUACCUCUUAGUGGGGGAUAACUAGCCGAAAGGUUAGCUAAUACCGCAUACGAUCGUCGCGAGGCAUCUCGUGACGAUGAAAGGAGCAAUUCGCUAAGAGAGGGGACUGCGUCCCAUUAGUUAGUUGGUGGGGUAAUGGCCUACCAAGACUCCGAUGGGUAGCUGGCUUGAGAGAGCGACCAGCCACACUGGAACUGAGACACGGUCCAGACUCCUACGGGAGGCAGCAGUGAGGAAUUUUCCGCAAUGGGCGCAAGCCUGACGGAGCGACGCCGCGUGUGGGAAGAAGGCCUUCGGGUCGUAACCACUGUCGAAGGGGACGAUAUUGACGGUACCCUUGGAGGAAGCCCCGGCUAACUACGUGCCAGCAGCCGC
rnacentral:rRNA from 1 species